UAAUCAAAUAUAUUUGUAAUUCUUAAAUUGUAGUUUAUUUCACAUUUACUGUUUUGUUAUUUCUGGUUUGUUUUUACAGUUUUUAGCCUUAAGAGUGUAUAUUAUUUAGAUAUCAUAGUUGCACAUUUCCUCAUUAUGACAUCUGCAGUUUAUUUGUGAUGAAAUUCAUCCUGUCAAUUUUUGUAAGAAUAAUCAAUAAUCAGUAGUGCUUCAUAUGUUAAAAAAAUGUCAUAUUCUGACUGAAUCAUAUUGCAUUUUCAGGGGUGGAGAAAGCAUAAAUUGUUAUUUUAUUUUUAAAAUCAUAUGAAAUAUUUGCAUUUCAUAUUCACUGAACUUCUUCCUUAUGUCAACAUAUAAAAUUCCAUCCAAUAUGUUUAUAUAUAUACUUUUAGAAUCAAAAUUUGUUUUGAAAUUAUCUAUGAAAUGAAUAAAUGAUAACUGAUUCCCUUGCUUAUGAAAAUGGAGUGUACCAAAUGAUGUGGGCACAGCACCUUCAGCUUAUUGAUUUUAAAGUAAAUUUUUGAUAAUUCAAUUUGAUAUUUUUUAGAGUCUAUAUGUUAAGUAUUUGCCAAGGUGGAAGAGCACACUUCUCAGAAAUGUAUGUAUAUACAAAAUUGAUACUGAAGUUGUAAACAACGAUCAUUAUAAACUUGUCCCAUAGUAUAUAGUUACUGAUAGCUUGAUUGUAAUAGCCUUUUAGUUCCUACUGUCAUCGGCUGUUUAGUGUUUCUUUUAACAUUAUUUUACACUGCAAACAUUUAAAUUCACAGUUCAUAUGCAUGACAGCAAUAAAGUUCAAAAAGGUAUAUGCAGAAACAUAGCUACCACCUUUAUUUCACAGAAAUUAAUACUUGUAUAGGAGUUGGAGAUAACGUGCAAAAAUUAUAAUUUUUUGUUAACGAGUGUUGAUCUUCAGUUGUUAUUACUCUUUCUUGGACAAUAUCCAGGAGAGUUUGUCAAUGUCCAGAAGUCAUGUGCCCGAUUUGUUGAGGUGGUGAGCGAUCGGAUGGAUGGAAAUGGGAAUGUUGCAAUCUGAUGCUGCUACACAUCUCAAUAUCUCUUGUAGUGUGGCCCACCAACUAUUAUGGAAUCAGUUUGAAUCUGAGGAUUCUGUGUCUAGAAGACAUGAAGAUAUGUUCCAGGCAGACCUAGAGUUACAGCACCUGUAGGAAACUGUUAUUUAGCUCUUUCGGCCUGAACGAGGAGUAACAUUAUUGUGCUUCAGCUAAUGGCAGGCGGAAACAAGUGGUGGCAAUAGGAACAAGAAUCUCAGCUACUACAGUGUGCAGACGCCUACACAAUACAGGUCUGUAUGCAGGGCAACCAGUUGUUUGUGUCCCCUUGACCUGAGGACUUUUUUGUUCUAUGUUGCAUUCUCAAAUUAGACACAAAAAACCUGCUGUUCCUUAACUUUUAGAGGUCAGUGUAUUUUGGAAAAAAUUUUAUUUGUAGACAGUUUUGAGAAAAUGAUGUGAAACAUGAUGCAUUAGAAAUAUUUCAUAAACAGCAGUUUUUCUUCUCCCUCCUGAAUUAUUGAAAUAUUCUAUAAGUAGGUGAUCGUAUUGGUCAUAAAAAUGUUUAAAAUAAAAAAAGGUGCCUUUACGAAUAUCUCCUAUGAAUAGUUUAUUAAAAUUUGAAUGAUGUUCUGAAUAUUGUCUUAAAAAUUUCAAGGAAAGAAUACAUUACUAACUUCCAUAAAAGUCUUCCCCGUAUAACUCAUUAGUAAGGUUUUCCUAUUGUACGUCUGCGUUCUACAAAUAUUGUGUAGCAAAAUAAUAAUAAUUUCGCUAUUGAUGCCCAGUGUGCUUAUAUUAGUUAUAAAGGAAAAUUUGCUUUGAAUAUUCAAUGAUAGAGAGCUUUCAGAGGUGAAAGUGCCUUUUAUUUUUCUUUUUUUACAAUUCUUCCCAGGGGUUUAAUUACAGAAUCUACAACUUGUCAGGCCCCAUCAAGAGACAACUUUUUAUGACAACUGGAUGAAGCUGCACAGUAUAUUGCAGUUGAAUGCCUGUCAACAAAUGACUUAGGUAAGUGAUGCUAAAAUGGAAAUUUUAGACAUUGUGGAUAGUACUCACAGCUGUUUGAAGUGGAAAAUAAGUGCUUGAAGAGAAGUCUUUACAUCUUGCUAAAUAUCAGCCACUACCUCGGUUGGAGUGAUAUGGUAGUUGCUCGUUGUUGGCAACAGUGGAUCACAGAAGGCACACCUCUCACCAAUAGAGCACAUUUGGGACAUGUUUGGAAAGCAUCUGCAUCCAUCCUGAAAUACUGGUGAAUUAACUGCCCAGUGGCAAAGAUUAUAGCAUAAUCUUCCUCAGAGGGUCAUAGGUGACCUACUUGAUUCUUUGCUACACACUGUGUUUCGGCAUGUAUAGCUGCAGAGGUGGCUAUAUUUCUUACUGAUUUGUAACCUUUUUCAUUCCAUAACUUCUUAAUAAAACAAUCUUUUAUUCUGAA